UCGGUCAGGGAUGGGCUCGCGGCCUAUCAGCUUGUUGGUGGGGUGAUGGCCUACCAAGGCGACGACGGGUAGCCGGCCUGAGAGGGCGACCGGCCACACUGGGACUGAGACACGGCCCAG
rnacentral:rRNA from 1 species